GNNNNUUCUUUCCCGGNGACNAUAUGACGGUCCCGGANAAGAAGCCCCGGCUAACUUCGUGCCAGCAGCCGCGGUAAUACGAAGGGGGCUAGCGUUGCUCGGAAUUACUGGGCGUAAAGGGAGCGUAGGCGGAUAGUUUAGUCAGAGGUGAAAGCCCAGGGCUCAACCUUGGAAUUGCCUUUGAUACUGGCUAUCUUGAGUAUGGAAGAGGUAUGUGGAACUCCGAGUGUAGAGGUGAAAUUCGUAGAUAUUCGGAAGAACACCAGUGGCGAANGCGACAUACUGGUCCAUUACUGACGCUGAGGCUCGAAAGCGUGGGUAGCAAACAGGAUUAGAUACCCUGGUAGUCC
rnacentral:rRNA from 1 species